ACUAAAAUAAUAACUCAAGAUCCGACAUCACAACGAAAUAAUAAUUCAAGAUCCAACAUCAUACCAAAAUAAUAAUCUAAGAUUCGACAUCGUAUAUACCAAAAUAAUAAUUCAAGAUCCGACAGGUCAAGUAAUAUACAUAAAAGCAAAAUAUCAAGAUAAUGUUUGACCAUUCAAGAGGUGGAACACACAAGUCUUCAAUUUUCAAAAAAAUUAACCCAAUC